UUUCCAAGUACUGAGAUCUGCCUAGGU
rnacentral:piRNA from 1 species